rnacentral:antisense_RNA from 1 species
CUCCGCAUCUCCUCUUAAUCAGGCCCAUCGACAAUCGACAAACCAGGAACAAAGCCUCGUGUUUUACGUAACCAUUAGGCGCCAACCAUGCAAAACAAAACGGCGCCAGACCCGCAUAUUACGGCAAGCUCAAGUAGAAUCGAGACCCUGUGUACAUUGACACAAAAGUAGAGCAAGAAUCUCAACGUGAUGGACCCGAUUUAGGCGACAGACACCGCGAUGUUCGGAAGGGCUUUAAGCCAUUCUUAGCUCGUUCGAACUUGUUAAUUUGUGAUGUGCCCCGAUCAAAGCACAGGAUUAGAAAAAUGACGCAACUUAAGCCUGACCCUUCUCGCAUUUGUCCUCUGGGAUGAGAGGUUGCUUCUCGUUUUGGUUUCCAUUCUCGGUUAGUGGGUUUUCAAAGGCAUCAGAACCAGUACCAACUGAGAGACGAGCUUGUUCCUUGAUGGUUUCUUCUUGUUUGGUGUUCUUUGGAGUGUUAUCCCAGAGCUUGGUGAGUGUGUAGAUGGCUGAACCAGUGAGUGUGAGGCAUGCACCGCCAACUGGAGCUGGCUUGAGCUUG